AACAGCAACAGAAAGAAUUACAUUAUUUGGUAACAAAUGUUGUUAGAAACUAACAAAGGGGGGCUAUUAAACAAAACCACAAAAUAAAUAAAAUAAAAUGUCACAACAGUUAUUUAUUUUGUGCAUGCCUUGCAAAUAAUAAACAAUUAUACGCAGAAAUGCAAAGGAUGCACAUCCAAACAGCUCUGUCAAAUGCAUCCAAGUCACGGAUCUUAUAAGUCUAUUGCUACAAGAUAUGAAGGGGAUAACACUUUUAACAAAAUCCCAGUGACAUUAAGGUGAAAUGCAUUUAUGUGAUCAACAAGGUCCAUAGGAGAAGGCUGCAGCUGCAAAGCAUCCCAGACAUUAGACAUCAUGAAGAAACUCCAUAUGGGAGAAGCGCAGCAGCCACAAUUCUCCCUUCUUCGUUCAAUAUGUUGUAAGUUGAUGCAGCAUUCCUCGAGUCAAUGGCUUCUAAUUUCAUGCCAGUAGACUGAAUGAAGCAUCUGAGUUCUGGAUCUAAUUGUUGAAUCUGCCUUCCAUAUCCAAGAAUCAAAAUCUCUGGUAUUGGGCGCAAAAUGCGGAAGAUGGAUAAGCUUUCAGGAGUAAUCUGAGAUAUCUGGUUGGGAGACCAAGAUAGAAGCAAGUUGCCAACGCAAAGCAAGCUGCCUUCAUACUCAACCCCAUUUACUGUGAAUCCCGUGUCAGUAUACCCCUGAAAGCGGAGUUGGUCCUGAGGAGCGUUGUCAAUGAGAUUGAUCUGAUCGUAGAGAGAGAAAGCACGUCUCAGCGAUGGCAAUGCACUCCUUCUCUCUAUUGCGGGCUUUCGCAGGCUUUGUAUCAGCUUCGGCAGUGCAGCCACCACUCUCUGUCGUAUUAUUGCCAUAUCUUCGUUUUCACUUCUUUCAGCCAAAAGGCCAAUUUGACCCCUCAACUUAUAGGGGAGGUUCAGGCAGGUACUCCAAUUUAAUUUGGGUUCAAUCAAGCCUCAACGAAGAGCAACAAUCGAUCGAAUAUUUGAAAUCAAAGGUUUCUUGUUCUACACGAUUUAUGACAGACCACCAACGGCGGAGACACGAGGAGAAGGAGACUAAGAUUUUUUCGGUUUGCAGAGAAGAAAGGAGACACGACUCACGAGAUGAGUCCACCAGGGGAAGAGAGACGAUGGCGGAAGCGGACGGCGGCCGGGCGUCUGGACUCUGACGGUCUGGGAGUGAGGCAAAAAGGAGAGGAUUUCGGUUGGGAAAUGUCGAGGAUCGAAAUACAGAGGAAGGAGGGAUCUAGGCAGUGGCCGGCUGGGUGUGGGAGGUGGGAACGAGGGAAGGGUGGGUUAGGGAGUUUAAAAUGUCAC
rnacentral:misc_RNA from 1 species